rnacentral:lncRNA from 1 species
GCAAAAACUGACCUUAUGGAAAUUAAAGCUAUCCUGUUUUUAAUUCUGAAUGCGCACACAUGCACUGCCGUCUUUAACGUUAGUGCUGAAGACAGUUUAGCUGAAACUGCAACAACUGUUCAGCUGGUUUAUCCACAGGAUCAUCACGAGAAACCCAGAAACGCCCCCUCUGGACGCAGUUUUUCUGUUCAACGUGACUAUGAAACCCAGACUGAUGAGCCGAUUGACUACAAUAUGGAUGAAACAUUGCCAGACUCUUCUUUAAUG